rnacentral:rRNA from 1 species
UACAGAGGUCUCAAGCGUUGUUCGGAUUCAUUGGGCGUAAAGGGUGCGUAGGUGGCGUCGUAAGUCAGGUGUGAAAUCUCGGGGGCUCAACCCCCGAAACUGCACUUGAUACUGCGAUGCUCGAGUACUGGAGAGGAGAUUGGAAUUUACGGUGUAGCAGUGAAAUGCGUAGAUAUCGUAAGGAAGACCAGUGGCGAAGGCGAAUCUCUGGACAGUUACUGACACUGAGGCACGAAGGCCAGGGGAGCAAACGGGG